rnacentral:rRNA from 1 species
CCUACGGGAGGCAGCAGUGGGGAAUAUUGGGCAAUGGAGGCAACUCUGACCCAGCAACGCCGCGUGAAUGAUGACGGUCUUCGGAUUGUAAAGUUCUUUUCUAAGGGGAGCAGAAAGUGGCGGUAGCUUAGGAAUAAACCUCGGCUAACUACGUGCCAGCAGCCGCGGUAAUACGUAGGAGGCAAGCGUUAUCCGGAAUGAAUGGGGGUAAGGGGUGCGUAGGUGGUUUGGUAAGUUGGUGGGGUAACUCCGGAGCUCAACUUCGGAAUUGGCACCAAAACUGUUGGACUCGAGUGCAGGAGGGGUAAGUGGAAUGUCUGGUGUAGCGGUGGAAUGCGUAGAUAUCAGGCAGAACACCGGUGGCGAAGGCGGGUUGCUGGACUGUAACUGACAUUGAGGCACGAAAGCGUGGGGAGCAAACAGGAUUAGAUACCCUAGUAGUC